rnacentral:rRNA from 1 species
UACGUAGGGUGCGAGCGUUAAUCGGAAUUACUGGGCGUAAAGCGUGCGCAGGCGGUUUUGUUAGUCCGGUGUGAAAUCCCCGGGCUUAACCUGGGAAUGGCAUUUGGGACUGCAAGGCUCGAGUGCGGCAGAGGAGACUGGAAUUCCUGGUGUAGCAGUGAAAUGCGUAGAUAUCAGGAGGAACACCGAUGGCGAAGGCAGGUCUCUGGGCUGACACUGACGCUGAGGCGCGAAAGCUAGGGGAGCGAACGGG